GUUUGUUGCUAUACCACCCUGAAUGUGCCUGAUGUUGUCUGAUCUCAGAAGCUAAGCAGGGUUGGGCCUGGUUCGUACUAGGAGGGGAGACCACAUGAAAAUACUGUGUCCUGUAGUCU
rnacentral:rRNA from 1 species